CAGUUCUGGGAUGGUAGCAAACCCGGGUCGAAAUCUCCGAUACCUGUGGGUACUAUUUUGGCGUUGCCUACACAUGCCAACUCCUGCCCAGUGCUUUGCCCAUCUCAUCUCCAAUCCUCACAGCCACCCUGCCUGGAAAUGUGGGUACUACUAUCCCCCUUUUGCUAACAAGAAAACAGAGGCUAGAAGAGGCAAAGUUCCUUCCCCACGGUCACACACCCUAAAAAGCAAAGGUUUCAUGAUUCAAUCUCAGGCAUCCGAAUCUCCAUGUUCUCACCUGCCAUGUGUGUAAGAGGAGAGCCCCUGUCCCUUUUGUCACCUGCAAGACUAAUCUUAAUGCCUGAGGAGAUGGGGCUGUUUCUCCCUCCGUGGGCAGGGCAUGCCCGGAGCCUGUCCCACGGCAGGCAGACGCAGGAGACAGAGACCCAGCACGUCUGGGGUUGUGGGCAGGGCUAUGACUCAGCCUGCCCCGGGAGAACCACGGGCUUGGAGGAGACGGCAGCAGACCCAUCAUCCUAAAGGAGACAGAGCACAAAGAGCAGGACAGAAACCAAACAAACUGGCACAAGGGCACCUGAACGCGCAGCUGGGGAAAAGCUCGGGCAGAUAAUCGGCGAAUCCAAUUUCCAGCUGGCUCUGCAGUGCAUGCGUCAGCCACCAGCAUUUUCCAUCAGGCCUUCCACAUCUCCGGGAGCCCAGAUUUUUGAGCAAGUGUUUUCACAAGAAGAGGAAGAGACCCAAGGGGCAUGGUCACAGAGGAAAGAUGGCAAGAAGGUGGCCUUCUACAGCCAAGGAGAGAGGCCUCAGAAGAAAUUAAUCGUGCCUGCACCUUGAUCUUGGAUUUCCAGCCUGUAGAACUGUGAGGAAAUACAUGUCUGUUGUUUAA